UGUUGAUGAUGUGGAUAGUCCCAAAGAAGUUCUUUGAUCCUCUCCCAUUUUUGAUAUAAAUUCUCAUCUGGCUUCUGUUUGAAGCACGCAAUCUCAUUGUGCAGUUU